CCCUUAGAUGUUCUGGGCCGCACGCGUGCUACACUGAGUGGAUCAGCGGGUCAGGUUGCGCGAAAGUGUUUCCUAAUCUUGAAAUCCGCUCGUGAUGGGGAUUGACGGUUGCAAUUUUCUGUCAUGGACGAGGAAUACCUUGUAAGCGCGGGUCAUCAUCCCGCGCUGAAUACGUCCCUGCCCUUUGUACACACCGCCCGUCGCUCCUACCGAUUGAGUGGUCCGGUGAGGCUUUGGGAUCUGGAUGGAAAGAGCGUUUCGCUGUUUCUGCCCGGAAAACUCAGUCGAACCUUAUCAUUUAGAGGAAGGAGAAGUCGUAACA
rnacentral:rRNA from 1 species